UGAUAGUGAUAAGGAUAAUUUCUGAGCAUGCCUUUAAAUAUCUCCCAAGAUUGGUAGAUAUUUUCCUCAUCUUUUGGUUUGAAACUCAAGAUCUCACUCCUCAAAUA
rfam:Capsicum annuum cultivar Zunla-1 chromosome 6, whole genome shotgun sequence